rnacentral:rRNA from 1 species
AGAGUUUGAUCCUGGCUCAGGAUGAACGCUAGCGGCAGGCUUAAUACAUGCAAGUCGAGGGGCAGCGCGGGUAGCAAUACCUGGCGGCGACCGGCGCACGGGUGCGUAACACGUAUGCAACCUACCUUAAACUGGGGAAUAGCCCCUCGAAAGAGGGAUUAAUGCCCCAUAACACUGUGAAAAGGCAUCUUUUUAUAUUUAAAGCUCCGGCGGUUUAAGAUGGGCAUGCGCGACAUUAGCUAGUUGGUGAGGUAACGGCUCACCAAGGCUCUGAUGUCUAGGGGUUCUGAGAGGAAAAUCCCCCACACUGGUACUGAGACACGGACCAGACUCCUACGGGAGGCAGCAGUAAGGAAUAUUGGUCAAUGGGCGCAAGCCUGAACCAGCCAUGCCGCGUGCAGGAUGACGGCCCUAUGGGUUGUAAACUGCUUUUGUACGGGAAAAAACCCCUGAUCGUGAUCGGGGCUGAUGGUACCGUAAGAAUAAGGAUCGGCUAACUCCGUGCCAGCAGCCGCGGUAAUACGGAGGAUCCUAGCGUUAUCCGGAUUUAUUGGGUUUAAAGGGUGCGCAGGCGGAAUAGUAAGUCAGUGGUGAAAUCUUUCGGCUUAACCGGAAAACUGCCAUUGAUACUGCUCUUCUUGAGUAUAUUUGAAGUGGGCGGAAUGUGUCAUGUAGCGGUGAAAUGCUUAGAUAUGACACAGAACACCAAUUGCGAAGGCAGCUCACUAAGCUAUAACUGACGCUCAUGCACGAAAGCGUGGG